CUGUCAACAUGUAUUUAAAAUACGAUGAACCGAUCGCUGCAAUGAAAACUUUUUAUGUGUCAAAGUUUUCUAACUUGUCAAAAUUACAAACCUAUGACAUCUUGAAUUGCUGGGUCUAUAACCAGUGCAUCCAUUAGAACUUUUCCUUUCAAUAUAUUUUGUCACUUAUAAUCCAUGUUUGAUCUCUUAUACAGAAGUUUUUUUUAUGUUGUUCUUGUUUGUGUACCAAUACACUUUGCACUUUGCCCUCGUGACGUUUGGGUUUAAU
rnacentral:lncRNA from 1 species